rnacentral:rRNA from 1 species
GACGAACGCUGGCGGCGUGCUUAACACAUGCAAGUCGAACGGGGCGCCAUGGAAGGAGACUUCGGUCAACGGAAAUGGCAGCUUAGUGGCGGACGGGUGAGUAACGCGUGAGUAACCUGCCUUUCAGAGGGGGACAACAGUUGGAAACGACUGCUAAUACCGCAUAAUGUAUCUGCAUCGCAUGGAGCGGAUACCAAAGAUUUAUCGCUGAGAGAUGGACUCGCGUCUGAUUAGCUAGUUGGCGGGGUAACGGCCCACCAAGGCGACGAUCAGUAGCCGGACUGAGAGGUUGAACGGCCACAUUGGGACUGAGAUACGGCCCAG